ensembl:lncRNA
GGGAUGGAGCCAGGAACCACCUCAUUUAAGGGUUGGCAGUGGAAGUAAUGGUUUUUCAUCUGGAGAUUCCUGCUUCUCUGAGGAUCUUAUAGGCCUUCUACAGCCCUGCAAGUCUUGACACAUGCUGGCUCCAGGGUCUCUCCAGUCUGGCACAGCACUGGAAGGCAAUACUAACUGGAGGAGGAAUAGCUAUUGAAUGAGGAGGAAAAGAAAAUUACUUCCCAUUUUUUACAUGGUCUUGAGAAAUUGGCUGAGAUAUUGAUUUAUGGGAACAGUGGUAGACAUGAGCAGAUCAAGGUUAUUGGCAAUGUGAAAGAGUGACUGCUUGGAAGGAGCCAUCAGAGACUGGAAGGGGAACAGGCUGGAUUGUAACACCGUAAAAUGAAUUUGUUAAAUCAUAUGAUAGUCUACCUGAGGUGACAUCUGUUCCCAGA